AGGACGAACGCUGGCGGCGUGCUUAACACAUGCAAGUGGAGCGACGAACCAGGGCUUGCCCUGGGGCAGAGCCGCGAACGGGUGAGUAACACGUGGGUUACCUGCCUCGAUGACCGGGACAACCCGAGGAAACUCGGGCUAAUACCGGAUGUGCCCGCAAGGGGAAAGGAAGCUUCGGCCUCCGCAUCGAGAUGGGCCCGCGGCCCAUUAGCUUGUUGGUGAGGUAACGGCUCACCAAGGCUUCGAUGGGUAGCUGGUCUGAGAGGACGAUCAGCCACACUGGGACUGAGACACGGCCCAGACUCCUACGGGAGGCAGCAGUGGGGAAUCUUGCGCAAUGCGCGAAAGCGUGACGCAGCAACGCCGCGUGGGGGAAGAAGGCUUUCGGGUUGUAAACCCCUUUCAGUUGGGACGAAGCUUCGCCGGUGAAUAGCCGGCCGGAGUGACGGUACCUUCACAAGAAGCACCGGCUAACUACGUGCCAGCAGCCGCGGU
rnacentral:rRNA from 1 species